rnacentral:rRNA from 1 species
ACUCCUACGGGAGGCAGCAGUGGGGGAAUAUUGGACAAUGGGCGAAAGCCUGAUCCAGCCAUGCCGCGUGUGUGAAGAAGGUCUUCGGAUUGUAAAGCACUUUAAGUUGGGAGGAAGGGCAGUUACCUAAUACGUAAUUGUUUUGUACGUUACCGACAGAAUAAGCACCGGCUAACUCUGUGCCAGCAGCCGCGGUAAUACAGAGGGGUGCAAGCGUUAAUCGGAAUUACUGGGCGUAAAGCGCGCGUAGGUGGUUUGUUAAGUUGGAUGUGAAAUCCCCGGGGCUCAACCUGGGGAACUGCAUUCAAAACUGACUGACUAGAGUAUGGUAGAGGGUGGUGGAAUUUCCUGUGUAGCGGUGAAAUGCGUAGAUAUAGGAAGGAACACCAGUGGCGAAGGCGACCACCUGGACUAAUACUGACACUGAGGUGCGAAAGCGUGGGGAGCAAACA